rnacentral:rRNA from 2 species
GAGUAACACGUGGGCAACCUGCCUGAUAAGACUGGGAUAACUUCGGGAAACCGAAGCUAAUACCGGAUAGGAUCUUCUCCUUCAUGGGAGAUGAUUGAAAGAUGGUUUCGGCUAUCACUUACAGAUGGGCCCGCGGUGCAUUAGCUAGUUGGUGAGGUAACGGCUCACCAAGGCAACGAUGCAUAGCCGACCUGAGAGGGUGAUCGGCCACACUGGGACUGAGACACGGCCCAGACUCCUACGGGAGGCAGCAGUAGGGAAUCUUCCGCAAUGGACGAAAGUCUGACGGAGCAACGCCGCGUGAGUGAUGAAGGCUUUCGGGUCGUAAAACUCUGUUGUUAGGGAAGAACAAGUACGAGAGUAACUGCUCGUACCUUGACGGUACCUAACCAGAAAGCCACGGCUAACUACGUGCCAGCAGCCGCGGUAAUACGUAGGUGGCAAGCGUUAUCCGGAAUUAUUGGGCGUAAAGCGCGCGCAGGCGGUCUCUUAAGUCUGAUGUGAAAGCCCACGGCUCAACCGUGGA